rnacentral:rRNA from 1 species
GAGUUUGAUCAUGGCUCAGGAUGAACGCUAGCGACAGGCCUAACACAUGCAAGUCGAGGGGUAGCAGGAUGUAGCAAUACAUUGCUGACGACCGGCGCACGGGUGAGUAACACGUAUGCAACCUACCUUCUACAGGGGAAUAGCCCGGAGAAAUUCGGAUUAAUACCCCAUAACGCAGGGAUACCGCAUGGUAAUAUUUGCUAAAGAUUUAUCGGUAGAAGAUGGGCAUGCGUUCCAUUGGGUAGUUGGUGAGGUAACGGCCCACCAAGCCUACGAUGGAUAGGGGAACUGAGAGGUUUAUCCCCCACACUGGAACUGAGACACGGUCCAGACUCCUACGGGAGGCAGCAGUGAGGAAUAUUGGUCAAUGGACGAGAGUCUGAACCAGCCAAGUCGCGUGAAGGAUGACGGCCCUACGGGUUGUAAACUUCUUUUGUAUGGGAGUAAAAAGGGUUACGUGUAACCUCUUGCAAGUACCAUACGAAUAAGCAUCGGCUAACUCCGUGCCAGCAGCCGCGGUAAUACGGAGGAUGCGAGCGUUAUCCGGAUUUAUUGGGUUUAAAGGGUGCGUAGGCGGGGAAAUAAGUCAGCGGUGAAAGUUUGAGGCUCAACCUUAAAAUUGCCGUUGAAACUGUUUUUCUUGAGUAUAUUUGAAGUAGGCGGAAUUCGUAGUGUAGCGGUGAAAUGCAUAGAUAUUACGAAGAACUCCAAUUGCGAAGGCAGCUUACUAAACUAUAACUGACGCUGAAGCACGAAAGCGUGGGUAUCAAACAGGAUUAGAUACCCUGGUAGUCCACGCCGUAAACGAUGAUUACUAGCUGUUUGUGAUAUUACAAUAAGCGGCUAAGCGAAAGCGAUAAGUAAUCCACCUGGGGAGUACGCCGGCAACGGUGAAACUCAAAGGAAUUGACGGGGGCCCGCACAAGCGGAGGAACAUGUGGUUUAAUUCGAUGAUACGCGAGGAACCUUACCCGGGCUUGAAAUGCAUCUGACCGCUUAAGAAAUU